AUUGAUGAACGCCUUCGAGUACUUUUAAACACAUCUGCUGCAGUGCUAUCUUAGACGCUUGUGGCCUCUUACGAGCAUGCUUUACUAUAUUUUAUGUUGACGUACCGCUUCUUCUGAAGUGCGCGCCAGCAACUGUUACGUCGUGGCUUUGCGCUUACCCGUUUUGCGACAGCAGACUACAGCCAGGAAACAGCAACCUUUCUUACCACAAGUUUCCAAUUGACAAUCCCAUCCUCCUGCAAAAAUGGCUUCAAGCCAUGGGUCUGAGAGGCUUUGCUCCAACCAGACGUCAUGCUCUGUGCUCUGCCCACUUCGAGCAAUCUAACUUUUGCGGUGGUCUACAACGACGCCGACUGCGUGAAGGGGCAGUGCCGACUUUGUUUCAACCAAGCAGUGACAACACAAGGGUAGAAGCAUCAGCAGCAACACUUGAAGCUCACUCGAUGUGUUCACCGGAAGGAUGGGCAGCGUUGUAAUCAACCAACACGUUGUGCACAAGAUUUUGGUUGCUCAAUGCUGUGUUGCUCGCAUCUAGGUCUUCUAUGAAGUGCACACUAUGACAUAGUUGCCGGGCCUCAAAUGAGGAAGCGCAUGAAAACACGGACACGAGAAGAAACGAAGACGAAGACAAGCGCUAACUUUCAACAACAAAAUUUAUUUCGUCUGUCUUACUGUGUUUUGCAAGCAAACCAAAAAACUGUGCUUGAUUGUCCUAUUUUCCUUUUGCUACGAUUCCUUCAACUGUCAAUCUUAUGUAAACCCUGGCAACAUUACAAAAAUGAAUGACUACAGCGACACAUAUACACACUGCAUUUAUGUUAAUACUAAUCUCUAAACUAAAAAGUAUAAGGAGUCAAUUUCAUGCGGACAUUAACCAAGUUAAAUUGCAAGGAGCAAUGACAGCACGACA